AACGAACGCUGGCAGCGUGGAUGAGGCAUGCAAGUCGAACGAGAAUUCGUUGUUUCAAGCCGCAAGGCGAGAAACAACGGAGGACAGUGGCGUAAGGGUGAGUAACACGUGGGCAAUCUGCCCUUUAGUUCGGGAUAACCUGCCGAAAGGUGGACUAAUACCGGAUGUGAUAGCUUCACGCAUGUGGAGUGAUUUAAAGACGGGGAUCCGCAAGGGCCUGUCGCUAAAGGAGGAGCCCGCGUCCCAUCAGCUAGUUGGUGAGGUAACGGCCCACCAAGGCUUACGGGUAGCUGGUCUGAGAGGAUGGUCAGCCACACUGGGACUGAGACACUGCCCAGACUCCUACGGGAGGCUGCAGUCCGAGGAUCAUUUUGCAAUGGACGAAAAGCCUGACAAUGCGACGCUGCGUGGAAGGAUGACGGCCUUCCGGGUUGUAAACUCCUGUCGUUUGGGAAACAAGGUGAGGGGGCUAAUACCUCCCGAGCUUGAUGGUACCAAAAAAGAAAGUCACGGCUAACUCUGUGCCAGCAGCCGCGGUGAUACAGAGGUGGCAAGCGUUGUUCGGAUUUACUGGGCGUAAAAGGGUGCGUAGGCGGUUGCGUGUGUCAAAUGUGAAAGCCCACUGCUCAACGGUGGAAGUGCAUUCGAAACUACGUGACUAGAGUACAGGAGAGGAGAGCGGAAUUCCCUGGUGUAGCGGUGAAAUGCGUAGAGAUCAGGAAGAACACCGGUGGCGAAGGCGGCUCUCUAAGACUGAUACUGACGCUGAGGCACGAAAGCUGGGGGAGCAAACAGGUUAGAUACCCUGGUAGUACCCAGCUAUAAACGGUGUAACACUUGGUGUGGGAGGAAUUGACCCCUUCCGUGCCGCAGCUAACGCGAUAAGUGUACCGCCUGAGGAGUACGGCCGCAAGGCUAAAACUUAAAGAAAUUGACGGGGGCCCGCACAAGCGGAGGAGCAUGUGGCUUAAUUCGAUGCAACGCGAAGAACCUUACCAGGGCUUGACAUGCAACUGCAAGUCCCGUGAAAGCGGGAUAGCCUUCGAGGGUGUUGCACAGGUGCUGCAUGGCUGUCGUCAGUUCGUGCCGUGAGGUGUUGGGUUAAGUCCCGCAACGAACGCAACCCUUGUGUUUCAGUUGCCACCGCCGGUGAUGAGCCGGCGAGCACUCUAAACAGACUGCCCAUGUUAAGUGGGAGGAAGGUGGGGAUGACGUCAAGUCAGUAUGGCCCUUAUGCCCUGGGCUGCACACGUGCUACAAUGGCCGGUACAGAGGGAUGCAAGACCGCGAGGUGGAGCUAAUCCCAUAAAACCGGUCUCAGUUCAGAUUGGAGUCUGCAAUUCGACUCCAUGAAGUUGGAUUCGCUAGUAAUGGCGCAUCAGCUACGGCGCCGUGAAUACGUUCCCGGGCCUUGUACACACCGCCCGUCACAUCAUGAAAGCCGUCUGCACCAGAAGUCGCUGAUCUAACCCGCAAGGGAGGAAGGCGCCUAAGGUGUGGGUGGUGAUUGGGAUG
rnacentral:rRNA from 1 species